UGAAGAACGUAGCGAAAUGCGAUACUUGGUGUGAAUUGCAGAAUCCCGUGAACCAUCGAGUCUUUGAACGCAAGUUGCGCCCGAGGCCUCCUGGUCGAGGGCACGUCUGCCUGGGUGUCA
rnacentral:sRNA from 1 species